rnacentral:rRNA from 1 species
UACGUAGGGGGCAAGCGUUGUCCGGAAUCAUUGGGCGUAGAGAGCGUGUAGGCGGCCCGAUAAGUCCGCUGUGAAAGUCCAGGGCUCAACCCUGGGAUGCCGGUGGAUACUGUCGGGCUCGAGUCCGGAAGAGGAGUGUGGAAUUCCUGGUGUAGCGGUGAAAUGCGCAGAUAUCAGGAGGAACACCAAUGGCGAAGGCAGCACUCUGGGACGUGACUGACGCUGAGACGCGAAAGCGUGGGGAGCAAACAGG